rnacentral:rRNA from 1 species
UACGGAGGGGGCUAGCGUUGUUCGGAAUUACUGGGCGUAAAGCGCACGUAGGCGGCUUUGUAAGUCAGAGGUGAAAGCCCGGAGCUCAACUCCGGAAUUGCCUUUGAGACUGCAUCGCUUGAAUCCAGGAGAGGUGAGUGGAAUUCCGAGUGUAGAGGUGAAAUUCGUAGAUAUUGGGAAGAACACCGGUGGCGAAGGCGGCCAUCUGGACGGACACUGACGCUGAGGCGCGAAAGCGUGGGGAGCAAACAGG